rnacentral:lncRNA from 1 species
CCAGGGAGAGAAAGGAAAGGGAAGAGAGUAUGAAAGAAAGAGAGAGUGAAGAUGGAGAGAGAGGGCUAAGGAGGGCCGAUGCACUGCAAUGAUCAGUGGACCUCACAGUGGAGGAUAUCACAACGUCUCUAAUUGAAACAUCCCUUUAGGGCCUCCUGUGGGGGUCCUGUUUUGUAAAACCACCUUUAACACACUUGUCCUCACUCAGGACUUGUUGUAGAAGCAGUGGCGACGCUAGUUGGGGGGUCAUGACAGGACUAAGACCCCUUUGGAAACUUACUCAGCCCCUUCAUCCUCCACCCAAAGACCUUUUUUCUAUAAGGAAAUAAAGGUUUGAGCUGAUAAAAAGACAACAGUAACUCAAGUAACCACUCGUUACAACCGAGGUAUGCUAAAGAGCAUCUCUGAAAGCACAACAUGUCCAACCUUGAGGCAGAUGGGCUACAGCAGCAGAAGACCACACUGGGUGCCACUCCUGUCAGCUGAGAACAGAAAACUAAGGCUACAGUUUACAUAA